AGACGAACGCUGGCGGCGUGCUUAACACAUGCAAGUCGAACGGUGAACAAGGAGCUUGCUUCUUGGGAUCAGUGGCGAACGGGUGAGUAACACGUGAGUAACCUGCCCUUGACUCUGGGAUAAGCGUUGGAAACGACGUCUAAUACCGGAUAUGUACUGCGACCGCAUGGUCUGUAGUUGGAAAGAUUUUUUGGUCAAGGAUGGACUCGCGGCCUAUCAGCUUGUUGGUGAGGUAAUGGCUCACCAAGGCGACGACGGGUAGCCGGCCUGAGAGGGUGACCGGCCACACUGGGACUGAGACACGGCCCAGACUCCUACGGGAGGCAGCAGUGGGGAAUAUUGCACAAUGGGCGCAAGCCUGAUGCAGCAACGCCGCGUGAGGGAUGACGGCCUUCGGGUUGUAAACCUCUUUUAGUAGGGAAGAAGCGAAAGUGACGGUACCUGCAGAAAAAGCACCGGCUAACUACGUGCCAGCAGCCGCGGUAAUACGUAGGGUGCAAGCGUUGUCCGGAAUUAUUGGGCGUAAAGAGCUCGUAGGCGGUUUGUCGCGUCUGCUGUGAAAACUGGAGGCUCAACCUCCAGCCUGCAGUGGGUACGGGCAGACUAGAGUGCGGUAGGGGAGAUUGGAACUCCUGGUGUAGCGGUGGAAUGCGCAGAUAUCAGGAAGAACACCGAUGGCGAAGGCAGAUCUCUGGGCCGUAACUGACGCUGAGGAGCGAAAGCGUGGGGAGCGAACAGGAUUGAUACCCUGGUAGUCCACGCCGUAAACGUUGGGAACUAGAUGUGGGGACCAUUCCACGGUCUCCGUGUCGCAGCUAACGCAUUAAGUUCCCCGCCUGGGGAGUACGGCCGCAAGGCUAAAACUCAAAUGAAUUGACGG
rnacentral:rRNA from 1 species